rnacentral:rRNA from 1 species
CAGCCGUGGACGCCACACGAGUGAGAAUGCAGGCAUGAGUAGCGAAAGACGGGUGAGAAACCCGUCCUCCGAAAGACCAAGGGUUCCAGGGCCAGGUUAAUCCGCCCUGGGUAAGUCGGGACCUAAGGCGAGGUCGA